AACGAACGCUGGCGGCAUGCCUAACACAUGCAAGUCGAACGAGACCUUCGGGUCUAGUGGCGCACGGGUGCGUAACGCGUGGGAACCUGCCCUUAGGUUCGGAAUAACUCCCCGAAAGGGGUGCUAAUACCGGAUAAUGUCUUCGGACCAAAGAUUUAUCGCCUUUGGAUGGGCCCGCGUUGGAUUAGCUAAUUGGUAGGGUAAAAGCCUACCAAGGCGACGAUCCAUAGCUGGUCUGAGAGGAUGAUCGGCCACACUGGGACUGAGACACGGCCCAGACUCCUACGGGAGGCAGCAGUGGGGAAUAUUGGACAAUGGGCGAAAGCCUGAUCCAGCAAUGCCGCGUGAGUGAUGAAGGCCUUAGGGUUGUAAAGCUCUUUUACCCGGGAUGAUAAUGACAGUACCGGGAGAAUAAGCUCCGGCUAACUCCGUG
rnacentral:rRNA from 1 species